rnacentral:pre_miRNA from 1 species
AUCACGUGGGGAUCUUGUUUAAUGUAGAUUCGGAGCCUGCAGGUCUGGGGUGGGAGAUUUUGCAUUUCUAACAAGCUCCCAAGCGAGGCCGCU